GAUCUCUUCUUAAAAUGAUUUCAUUGUUGCCGUUUUGCCCCGAGUUAAUCCUGAUCAACCAAAGUUAUAAUUAAAAGGGCUUCUAGCUGCGAUCAUUUUAUUUUUUUGCUUCCUUCUAUCAAAUGACUACUUCCAUUGUCUCCUAUGCCCUGCAGCUUUCAGACCAGGAGACUUUGAUUGGUGGGUUCAACUCAUGAAGGGGGUUCACAAUGACCGCUUUAUCUUAAGUGUGUUGUUAUUCAGUUUUCAGACUGCAGCCAUUAUCACCAUCACUCCCCUCCAUCUCU